AAAUUACUCGCUGAUUGACACCAGUUUGACUACGAAGGUUACACUUGAUUCUGCUGUGGUGCCUGUGGAAACGAAGUGCAUGAAGUUUGUGCUCAGGUGGGAAAACCCUGUGGAYCACAUGGUGGGACUUCUGCUUCAAACUGCUCACUACAGUAUACCAUUGUCUCUGUCAUCCACCAGUUCACUGCAGACUGGCACCAGUUCACUGCAGACUGGCACCAGUUCACUGCAGACUGGCACGCGCCACAGACCCUACAUGGAUGUCUUCUUAAGUUGUAAACCCUGAGUAAAUACAGUUGAAAUAAAAUUAAUGCCUUUUGUAAACACAUCUUCUCUAUCAGUGACUUAAAUUAACUGUAGUAAUUAUGUUUGUGUAAUGUAGUAACCAUGUACAGUGUUUAAUAUAAUUGUUAAAUAGAUGUUUUAAAGAAA